UACGGGGGGGGCAAGCGUUGUUCGGAAUUACUGGGCGUAAAGGGCUCGUAGGUGGCCAACUAAGUCGGAUGUGAAAUCCCCAGGCUUAACCUGGGAACUGCAUCCGAUACUGGAUGGCUUGAAUUCGGGAGAGGGAUGCAGAAUUCCAGGUGUAGCGGUGAAAUGCGUAGAUAUCUGGAGGAAUACCGGUGGCGAAGGCGGCAUCCUGGACCGAGAUUGACGCUGAUGAGCGAAAGCUAGGGGAGCAAACGGG
rnacentral:rRNA from 1 species